rnacentral:rRNA from 1 species
UACGUAGGGGGCUAGCGUUGUCCGGAAUCAUUGGGCGUAAAGAGCGUGUAGGCGGCCCGGUAAGUCCGCUGUAAAAGUCAAAGGCUCAACCUUUGAAUGUCAGUGGAUACUGCCGGGCUAGAGUCCGGAAGAGGCGAGUGGAACUCCUGGUGUAGCGGUGAAAUGCGCAGAUAUCAGGAAGAACACCCGUGGCGAAGGCGGCUCUCUGGGACGGUACUGACGCUGAGACGCGAAAGCGUGGGGAGCGAACAGG